rnacentral:rRNA from 1 species
AAAAAAUUAAAGUAAUUACUAAAAUAGUAAAUAAUUAUUUAUUGAAACUUAAAUAAUUUGGCGGUAUUUUAGUUCAUUUAGAGGAAUCUGUCUAGUAAUUGAUAUUCCACGAAUAAUCAUAUUUAAUUUAAAAUUUUAUAUAUCGUUGUUAAAAAAAUAUUUUUAAAUAAAAAUAAUAUUUUAAAAUUUUAAUUAGAAAUUAAUUCAGAUCAAGAUGUAGAUUAUAAUUAAAUUUAAGAUGGAUUACAAUAUAAUUAUAUAAACGAAUAAUAAUUUUGAAAUAUUUAUUUGAAGGUGGAUUUAAAUGUAAUUUUAAAUAAUUUUUUAAAAUGAUUUAUAAUUAAAAUAUGUACAUAUUGCCCGUCACUUUCAUUUAAAAAUUGAAAUAAGUCGUAACAAAGUAGGGGUACUGGAAAGUGUUCCUAGAAAGA